rnacentral:rRNA from 2 species
UAAAUUGUUUUGUUUUAUAUGUUAGUAUUGCAUACUAUUAGAGGAAAAUUUCAUAGUUAAUGAAAAAUAGAAAUAAAAGGUAGAAUUAUAAUUAGUUUUAUUGUUUCAAAAUAAAAAUUAUUAUAAUUAGUGUUGAUAUGUCGACUUUUAUUAUAACUGUAUAUUAUUUUUAUAUUAGAAAAUUAUAUAUAAAUUGUUUUAUUAUAAGGUAAUAAGGAUUUGUAGUAUCUUUAAUUUUAAGUGUCAUAACUUUACCUUGUUUUAAUUUGUUUAAUUUAUUAUAUUAGUUCAAUAAGACUAUAUUGAAUUUAUAAUCUUUAAAUUAGUAGGUUUAUUAAAUUUAAUGUUAAUAUUAAAAUAUAAUUGAAGAACUUGAUAUCUUGAUCAAAUGUUUUUUAAAGACUUAGGCUUUUAUAUAAAGCUGGCUUCUGCCCUAUGAGGUUUUUAAAUGGCAGUCUUAGCGUGAGGACAUUAAGGUAGCAAAAUAAUUUGUGCUUUUAUUGGGUUCCAGUAUGAAUGAAGUUAUUGGUUGGUUCUUUUUAUGUUUUUUAACCGAAUUUAAUAUUUAUUUAAGAAAAAAUAAAUGUAUUUAAACAAAGAUAAGUCUUUGGAAAUUCAGUUGUUAAUUAUUCUUUUGUUUAAUUGAUAAAUUUUCUAGGGCAGAAUAUUAUAUAAUUGUUUUAUUAUUUACUAUUAAUAAUUUAAUGAAUUACUCCAGAGUUAACAGAAAAUCAUACCUGAUCUAGUUGUUAUAGUAAGGUAAGUUUUACAUCGAUGUUGUAUUCAGAUAAUCUAAGGGAGGAGAAGACUUAGUGUUUUAGACUGUUCUUCUAUUAAUUAAUCUGACGUGAUAUUAGUUUAAUUCAUCGUGAGGUAGAAUUGUUUAUCUUGUUAAAUACUUAGUGUUAUUAUAUUUAGUACGAAAGGAACGUUAUAGAAAUUUUAAAUUUUUUAAAGAUAAUUCU